AUUGAACGCUGGCGGCAUGCCUUACACAUGCAAGUCGAACGGUAACAGGUCUUCGGAUGCUGACGAGUGGCGAACGGGUGAGUAAUACAUCGGAACGUGCCUAGUAGUGGGGGAUAACUACUCGAAAGAGUGGCUAAUACCGCAUGAGAUCUACGGAUGAAAGCAGAGGAUCGCAAGACCUUGUGCUACUAGAGCGGCCGAUGGCAGAUUAGGUAGUUGGUGGGAUAAAAGCUUACCAAGCCGACGAUCUGUAGCUGGUCUGAGAGGACGAUCAGCCACACAGUGACUGGGACACGGCCCAGACUACUACGGGAGGCAGCAGUGGGGAUUUUUGGACAAUGGGCGCAAGCCUGAUCCAGCAAUGCCGCGUGCAGGAUGAAGGCCUUCGGGUUGUAAACUGCUUUUGUACGGAACGAAAAGCCCUGGGUUAAUACCCUGGGGUCAUGACGGUACCGUAAGAAUAAGCACCGGCUAACUACGUGCCAGCAGCCGCCGUAA
rnacentral:rRNA from 1 species